rnacentral:rRNA from 1 species
UUAGCCAUGCAUGUCUCAGUACAAGCCUCAUUAAGGUGAAACCGCGAAUGGCUCAUUAAAUCAGUUAUGGUUCCUUGGAUCUUACCCACACUUACAUGGAUAACUGUGGUAAUUCUAGAGCUAAUACAUGAACCUCGUGCCCCGACCAGUGAUGGAAGGGGCGCUUUUAUUAGAACAAAACCAAUCGGUCGGCUCGUCCGUCCGUUGCCUUGGUGACUCUGAAUAACUUUGGGCUGAUCGCACGGUCCCAGCACCGGCGACGCAUCUUUCAAAUGUCUGCCUUAUCAACUUUCGAUGGUAGGUUCUGCGCCUACCAUGGUUGUAACGGGUGACGGGGAAUCAGGGUUCGAUUCCGGAGAGGGAGCCUGAGAAACGGCUACCACAUCCAAGGAAGGCAGCAGGCGCGCAAAUUACCCACUCCCGGCACGGGGAGGUAGUGACGAAAAAUAACGAUACGGGACUCAUCCGAGGCCCCGUAAUCGGAAUGAGAACACUUUAAAUCCUUUAACGAGGAUCUAUUGGAGGGCAAGUCUGGUGCCAGCAGCCGCGGUAAUUCCAGCUCCAAUAGCGUAUAUUAAAGUUGUUGCGGUUAAAAAGCUCGUAGUCGGAGGUGUGUCUCGGACGGUCGGUUCGCCGCUUGUCGGUGCUCAACUGGCCGGUCCGGACGUCCUGCCGGUGGGGCUGUAAAAGGCUCCGUUAUCCUUCUUUGGUCCUCUUCAUUGAGUGCCUUGGUGGGCCGGCACGUUUACUUUGAACAAAUUAGAGUGCUCAAAGCAGGCCGUUGGUCGCCUGAAUACUGUGUGCAUGGAAUAAUGGAAUAGGACCUCGGUUCCAUUUUGUUGGUUUUCAGAACUCGAGGUAAUGAUUAAUAGGGACGGACGGGGGCAUUCGUAUUGCGACGUUAGAGGUGAAAUUCUUGGAUCGUCGCAAGACGAACCGAUGCGAAAGCAUUUGCCAAGAACGUUUUCGUUGAUCAAGAACGAAGUUAGAGGUU